rnacentral:rRNA from 1 species
ACGGGAGGCAGCAGUGGGGAAUAUUGCACAAUGGGGGAAACCCUGAUGCAGCAACGCCGCGUGGAGGAUGACACAUUUCGGUGCGUAAACUCCUUUUAUAUAGGAAGAAAAUGACGGUACUAUAUGAAUAAGCGCCGGCUAACUCCGUGCCAGCAGCCGCGGUAAUACGGAGGGCGCAAGCGUUACUCGGAAUCACUGGGCGUAAAGAGCGUGUAGGCGGAUAGAUAAGUUAGGAGUGAAAUCCUAUGGCUCAACCAUAGAACUGCUUCUAAAACUGUCUAUCUAGAGUAUGGGAGAGGUAGAUGGAAUUUCUGGUGUAGGGGUAAAAUCCGUAGAGAUCAGAAGGAAUACCGAUUGCGAAGGCGAUCUACUGGAACAUAACUGACGCUGAGACGCGAAAGCGUGGGGAGCAAACAGGAUUAGAUACCCUGGUAGUCCACGCCCUAAACGAUGUACACUAGUUGUUGCCAUGCUCGACAUGGCAGUAAUGCAGUUAACACAUUAAGUGUACCGCCUGGGGAGUACGGUCGCAAGAUUAAAACUCAAAGGAAUAGACGGGGACCCGCACAAGCGGUGGAGCAUGUGGUUUAAUUCGACGAUACGCGAAGAACCUUACCUGGUCUUGACAUAGUAAGAACCAUUUAGAGAUAGAUGGGUGUCUGCUUGCAGAAGCUUAUAUACAGGUGCUGCACGGCUGUCGUCAGCUCGUGUCGUGAGAUGUUGGGUUAAGUCCCGCAACGAGCGCAACCCUCGUCGUUAGUUGCUAACAGUACGGCUGAGAACUCUAACGAGACUGCCUGGGCAACCAGGAGGAAGGUGAGGACGACGUCAAGUCAUCAUGGCCCUUACGACCAGGGCUACACACGUGCUACAAUGGGGUAUACAAAGAGCAGCAAUACAGUGAUGUG